UUUACCUACGGUGAGAAAUAAUUACCGUACCUAAAUAUAUCACAAACAGUGAAAAAUACAAUUAAAGAUAAUCUCAAUUAUCUUAUAUAAUUAUCACAUUCCUUUGCACUUAAAUCAGUUGUUUCCGGCCAAUUUUAUAUAUUAUAUUUGUAAAUAUUUAUAAUGAUGGGCUUUUCGUUUGGCGCAAAAGAACCAAGAGGACGCUUUUUUCUGGGAGAGAGAAAGUCUGACUCUUGUGCUCUGUCAGUUGGGGCUGUUUCCCGGGAAGGGCCAGGUUGUGGCUCCAUAACGUUUAUAAAAAUCAACAAACGAUCACAACGCGAAAAGUCAA